CUUUGCAGUGUAGGAGGCUGAUGGUUGACCUUAUUGAGGUUUACAAGAUCAUGAAGGGCAUGGAUGAUGCUGCUGCAU